rnacentral:misc_RNA from 1 species
CGCACAUUGCGCCCUCCGGCAUUCCGGGGGGCAUGCCUGUCCGAGCGUCGUUCCUCACCCCACGGGGUUGCGAGCUGUGUGCUCGACGAUGGGCUCCGUUGCUUCCAGGCGACGAGCCCCAAGAUCAGGGUAGAGGCGUCGAACCUUCAGCCGCAGUAGAACCUUCCGGCUUCGAAGGGACAGCGCCAGUACCAGGCCUCCCACGAGACCGCGUGUCGCAGCGAUGCCACGCCGGCGGGGUGCCCGUCAGCGCUCCACCCGUCGACCUGAGGUCAGGCAAGAACACCCGCUGAACUUAA